rnacentral:rRNA from 1 species
UACGAGAGGCCCAAACGUUAUUCGGAAUUACUGGGCUUAAAGAGUUCGUAGGCGGCGCAGAAAGUAGGGUGUGAAAGCCCUCGGCUCAACCGAGGAAUUGCGCUCUAAACUACUGUGCUUGAGGAAGCUAGAGGUGAGCGGAACUGAUGGUGGAGCGGUGAAAUGCGUUGAUAUCAUCAGGAACACCGGUGGCGAAAGCGGCUCACUGGAUCUCUUCUGACGCUGAGGCACGAAAGCUAGGGUAGCGAACGGG